rnacentral:rRNA from 1 species
CCCUUAGAUGUUCUGGACCGCACGCGCGCUACACUGAUGCAUUCAACGAGUCUAAAACCUGGUCUGAUAGGGCUGGGUAAUCUUUUGAAAGUGCAUCGUGAUUGGGAUAGAUGAUUGCAAUUCUUCAUCUUCAACGAGGAAUGCCUAGUAAACGCAAGUCAUCAGCUUGCAUUGAUUACGUCCCUGCCCUUUGUACACACCGCCCGUCGCUCCUACCGAUUGAAUGAUCCGAUGAAUACCAUGGAUUGAGAGUACGAAUGGGUUCGCUCAUUUCUGCUGCUCGAGAAGUGGAGUAAAUCUUAUCAUUUAGAGGAAGGAGAAGUCGUAACA